GGAAUAUUGGACAAUGGGGGCAACCCUGAUCCAGCCAUGCCGCGUGAGUGUUAAGGCCUUCGGGUUGUAAAGCUCUUUUGUAUGGGAAAAUGAUGAUGGUACCAUAAGAAUAAGCACCGGCUAACUUCGUGCCAGCAGCCGCGGUAAUACGAAGGGUGCAAGCGUUGUUCGGAAUUACUGGGCGUAAAGGGCGCGUAGGCGGAUAAGUUAGUCAGGAGUGAAAUCCCGGGGCUCAACCUCGGAACUGCUUUUGAAACGGCUUAUCUUGAGUGUGACAGGGGAUGAUGGAAUACCCAGUGUAGAGGUGAAAUUCGUAGAUAUUGGGUAGAACACCAGAGGCGAAGGCGGUCAUCUGGGUCACUACUGACGCUGAGGCGCGAAAGCGUGGGGAUCAAACA
rnacentral:rRNA from 1 species